rnacentral:lncRNA from 1 species
UUUUCUUUGACGUGUCACCAGACUGUAAGGCUUUGUUGGUGGCUUGUAAAACUUUUAGAUUAGUGACCAUACCAUUUUUGAUACCUUCAUCAAUUCAUUCUCCCAACUUGAUGAUGUCGGAGAAUUUCUGACCCUCUAUCAACAUUAGCCUCUCAUAGUAUUGCGGAUCCUGAGCCUAGACAAAGAACCUAUUUAUGUGCUCUUCCUCAAGGGCUGGACGGACCUUGGCAGCUUCUGACCUCUAGUG